UAUUAACGCUAGCGGGAGGCCUAACACAUGCAAGCCGAGCGGUAUUUGUUCUUCGGAACAGAGAGAGCGGCGCACGGGUGCGGAACACGUGUGCAACCUGCCUUUAUCUGGGGGAUAGCCUUUCGAAAGGAAGAUUAAUACCCCAUAAUAUAUUGAGUGGCAUCAUUUGAUAUUGAAAACUCCGGUGGAUAGAGAUGGGCACGCGCAAGAUUAGAUAGUUGGUGAGGUAACGGCUCACCAAGUCAAUGAUCUUUAGGGGGCCUGAGAGGGUGAUCCCCCACACUGGUACUGAGACACGGACCAGACUCCUACGGGAGGCAGCAGUGAGGAAUAUUGGACAAUGGGUUAGCGCCUGAUCCAGCCAUCCCGCGUGAAGGACGACGGCCCUAUGGGUUGUAAACUUCUUUUGUAUAGGGAUAAACCUACUCUCGUGAGAGUAGCUGAAGGUACUAUACGAAUAAGCACCGGCUAACUCCGUG
rnacentral:rRNA from 1 species